AUACGGAGGGCGCGAGCGUUGUUCGGAAUCACUGGGCGUAAAGCGGGUGUAGGCGGCCUGUCAAGUCAGAUGUGAAAGCCCACGGCUCAACCGUGGAAGUGCAUCUGAAACUGGCAGGCUUGAGUACCGGAGAGGGAAGUGGAAUUCCUGGUGUAGGGGUGAAAUCCGUAGAUAUCAGGAGGAACACCGGUGGCGAAGGCGACUUCCUGGACGGAUACUGACGCUGAGACCCGAAAGCGUGGGGAGCAAACAGGAUUAGAUACCCUAGUAGUCC
rnacentral:rRNA from 1 species